GGUGGCGUGGUUCGUCCACCUUGCUUUCUUUCCACACUUCUCGUGCUUUUUUUCUCCUGUUUUUGCCUCACUAUGUUUUCAUCUGUGUUUCAGUUUCCGCUACUCCUUCCACUUCUUCCGAAAGAGCAGCUGGCAAUCGUCGUCAUCGUCUGGCUAUGCGAGAGCAUACGGCUCUUCUACGGGCCCAUCGACUUUCGAGCCGUUCUCAUGGAGGCAUCCUGCGGAGGUCAGCUUCGAAUAGUCGUCGCCAGGGUCGUCGUCCGCAUUCUGACAUAUGCCGGCAAACUGCUCUUCUUCAGGCAGGUGUUGCUGCUGAUAUUCAGUUGCCUCUUCCUACAAGCUUGGUGAGGUUUCUCAAAGCUGCUUGGCCUGGCAGGUCCUAC